rnacentral:rRNA from 1 species
UACGAAGGGGGCUAGCGUUGUUCGGAAUUACUGGGCGUAAAGCGUGCGCAGGCGGUUUUCCAAGUCAGGGGUGAAAGCCCAGAGCUCAACUCUGGAAUUGCCUUUGAAACUGUGAGACUCGAGUGCGGGAGAGGUGAGUGGAAUUCCCAGUGUAGAGGUGAAAUUCGUAGAUAUUGGGAAGAACACCGGUGGCGAAGGCGGCUCACUGGCCCGUUUCUGACGCUCAUGCACGACAGCGUGGGGAUCAAACAGG